AAUUGUCAAGUAUAUGGUGGAGAAUCUGAAAGAAGAAUAUCUGGUCUUAUUGGCCGAGACCAUUCCCUUCCUUGGGGAGCUGCUUGAAGAUGUUGAACUUCCUGUCAAGUCUCUUGCACAAGAAAUUCUCAAGGAGAUGGAAUCGAUGAGUGGUGAAAGCUUACGGCAAUAUCUCUGAACUUAAUUGUGAAUCUAUAGAAGCCUCUUCCUCAAGGGUGUGUAGCGCAGAGAUUUUGCCUUCUGAGGCCUUCUUGUUUUGAAAGGUAAUGAGCACCUUGCAGCAUUCUUCCUUUCCUAGCCCUAAAUACGGAGAUAUCAGGGCACAUAUACAGCACUUGGCAGGACCAGACAAACUGGACACUCAUCGUGGGACUAUUCCAUGUUUUCCCUACUUAAGAGUUGUGCACAGAGCUCGGAAAUCUGAGAGUAUUGGCGAUAGUUUUGUAGCUGAUUAUUUAGGACCUUUGUAGCAUAGAAAGAAUAGCCUCUUGUUGAGAUGUAUAUACAUGGUGUGGCCUUACCUCUUUUUCUCCUGUAGAUGGAAGGCAAUUUUGUUCAAUAGGAAAGAGAACAGUGUAUUCUGCUGUUGUCAACAGUUAAAAGUAUUUAUCUAAGCUCAUAGCAAGAGAAGUCGUUAUUGUUUGCUAUCCCAAAACUGUGACCUUUUAUAUUUGAACCAUAAUUUUGAUGUUAAAAGUUAAAUGAAUGGCUACAAAUUCUCAUUAUAAAUUUACUGUUUUUGAUGUUGCUAUCUCUAGUGUAUUCACAAUCUCUAUGUUCUACCAAAUUUACUUGUUAAAUUUUGACUUUCUAUAUCUAUCAAAGAAAAUAAUAUCCCCUUUAUUUCAAUUUAUAUGACUUACUUUCUUUUUUCGUCAUUUAAAAAAAAAUGACACAUUUCUAGUAAGAAAUUAACUUUAAAAUGUCUAUUUUAUCCGUAAUGAAAUAAUUUAUAGUCACAUAAACAACUAUGACUUAUUUUAUGGUAGGGGUGUACAUGCCUGGGUUGGUUUGAAUUUUUCAAAUAUCAAACCAAACUAUUUGUGUCGAAUUUUUAAAUCUAUAAAUCAAACCAAUAAAACUCGGAUUUUUCAACUUCGGGUUUUUCCGGAUUUUUUCGCAUUUUUCGGGUUUUUCCGGUAAAGUAUUCAUACAAACAUAUAAUCAGUGGCGGAGCCACCUUACUAUUAGGGGGUUCGAUGAACCCCCUUUGGCGAUGAACCCCCUUCGGCGGAAAAUUAUAUAAUAUAUACAUGAUUAAAAUAACUUUUUAGGUAUAUAUAGUAGAUGUCAAACCCCCUUUGGCUACUUCAUGUAUCUAUUUUUUCAGAUUUUGAACCUCCUUACUGAAAAUCCUAGUUCCGCCACUGCAUAUAAUUUACUUGUACUUCAAAUAUUUCUUUCGUCCUACCAAAAUACAACUAUCUAAGGUGUUUCUUAAGAAAAUAACACAAAAUAUUAUAUGAGUAAUUAGGGGUGUACAAGUCAAACCGAACCGACGAACCAAAUCAAAACCGGAAAAAAAAAGAUUUGUGGUUUGGUUUGGUUGGUUUGGCGGUUGAAAAAAAAACCGACCACUCUUGGUUUGGUUUAGAAUUAAAAGAAAAAAAGUCAAAUCAAAUAUAUAAAUAAUUUUAUUUUAUUUAUAGAUAAAAAAUAUCAUUUAUANNNNNNNNNNNNNNNNNNNNNNNNNNNNNNNNNNNNNNNNNNNNNNNNNNNNNNNNNNNNNNNNNNNNNNNNNNNNNNNNNNNNNNNNNNNNNNNNNNNNAAUUACCAACAUCUGCGGACUAUAAUCUUUAUUGAACUAUUUAGAAUUCUAAGUUUCAAACUUGAAAUAAUAAAAGAUAAAAACUAUGAAAAAGUAUAAGAAAUAUUUAAAAAUUAUAUCAAAGUAAAUAUUUUUAUGUAUAAAAUAAAAUUUUAAAAUUAUACAUAUAAUGUCGAGUUGGUUUGGUCUCGGGUUUUUUUUUUUUUAGUUAAAACCAAACCAACCCUCGAUUUUUUUUUCAAUACCAAACCUAGUCAAACCAACCACUAGUCGGGUUUUUUUCUCGGUUUGACUCGAUUUGCGGUCUGAUUCGAUUUUGUAAAUCCCUAUUUUAUGGCAUAAGUUUGAAAAGUCUUUUACAUUUUUCAAAAUAAUUAAUUGAUGGUAUAAUAGUUUAAAAAAUUGUUUUUUGUUGAUUUGUCAAAAUGGACAAAUAAAAAAGGAAAAUUAAACAAGUAAUUAGCGACAAACUGAAAGAACUAAUAAAACAGGUAACAAAGAACAUUCAGUUACUGACAAUGGGGAGAAGCGCAGAUCUUAACUUUUCUGGAAAGACCUGGGCAGAGAUGGUAAAUAUAUUAGGAUCAUACAAGUCUAAAAUAUACUACCAUAUUGUUCAAUGGAAACCACCAAUGAUGGAUCAAGUGAAAUGCAAUACUGAUGAAGCUAGCAAAGGAAAUCUUGGAGAGAGUGCUAUUAGGAUGUGCUUCAGGGACAUGAAUGGAGAUAUUAUUUAUGCUCAAGCUAAAAGAAUAGGAUUUGCCACUAAUAUAGAAGCAGAGGUGAAAGCAAUCUAAGAAGCUCUAAAAAUCAGCUCUAGGAAGGGGUUUCGAAAUCUUUUGAUUGAGACUGAUUCCCUUACUCUAAGGAACAUCAUACAGAGGACUUAGAGAAUACCAUGGGAAAUUGCAGAAAUUAUGGAAGAUAUAAUGAAGGAGAUGGGGACACAAAAGGUAGAAAUCAAACAUAUUUUUAGGGAAAGCAAUCAACUAGUAGAUUAUUUAGCUAACCUAGCUAUUAAUCAAACAGAAAUACAAGAGUUCAAUGAUUUUAUAGAGCUACCAAGAGCAGGCAAAUGCAUCACAAACAUGGACAAAAUACAUAUUCCAUCCAUGAAAAUAAGAAACAAGCAAAUAAGGUAACAUGAUGACACAAGAUCAGACAUAUAACAGACAGGGGAGGGGAGCAUCAAAGUGUAUUACAGAGAAGCAAAUCUUAGAAAGGGGAUUAUUACAACUACUAAAAUAAUUGGUUUACUAAUCUACAUUAACACAAAAAAAUAGUUGACAACAAAGCUUGAAAGCAGCAUCGUGGAAGACACUCAAGCAAGGAGGUCAACACAGUGUCCAAGCAGAUAUGAAAAUGCAGCAUAAUAUCAGCUGACACAGAAUACAGAGGAGUCAGGAAACAAUAAAUAAAAGGAAAGAAGGGAUAGGAAAGAACCUGGAGCCGAGCUGCAUCCAAAAGAGAAAAGCCAAAAGCGCAGACGAGGAACAACAAUGAACAUCUCGGAGAUUGAGAUGGAAAUAUCGAAAGGGGCGAUGGUUCUGUCCACUUUCCUAAUUAAGGUUAGGUAAAGAUGGGCUGGGGCGGUGUUGGGCUCUUUGGCCAGACAAAUGUUUCUAAAAGAUCUUUAUUAAUAAAAUGGCCUUCAGGCCGGAAAAAAAAAAUUAGCAACAAAAAAAGUAGUACAAUAGAAAUUUAUUUUGGUUCUUUCUCAAAAAGACAGGAGUUAGAUGAUUGGACGACUCCCUUUGUUUUGGAAAAGAAAAAGAGUAGAAUUAUAGGGAACAUAAGAAUGAGCGCGCCCAAUCCAACAGAAAGGAGGAAUGUGAUUGGCCCUGCCAACACUCACGUCUCAUGCGCCUUAUGACAUAUUCUCCAUUGACUCCAUUACUUUCUUCCUUCCUCUUUUCUCAUCUUUCUCUCUAACUUCUUCUCUUUUCUCCAUCUGCAUCGAAAAUCGUAGCUCAACCAUUAUCUACACAUUUCAUUUUACUUUCUCAAAGGGAAGAAGAAAAGCAAAGAAUCUCCAAACCCCAUCAAGCAUCUCUUCCUAUUACUUCUUUUCUUUAUGUAAAUAUACUCUUUUAAGCACAACCCCUUAAUCCUACAAGGAGGACUUUUUCUUGGAGAACUUCAAAUGAGGAUUUUGGGAAUUUCCAUUUUCUUGAUUCUGUUUACUUUUGCUUUUGCAAAUGAAGAUUUUAAUUCCCAUGUGGUUGAUAGGCCAUUGAUUGUUGAGUUUUUUGAAAAUAAUGAACCCUAUUUAAAGAGAACGCUUCAUUUAGAGUGUACAAGUUGGAGGUUUGCUGGGGAGGCUAAUAAUUUAAGCCCAUGGAAGAUAAUUCCACAGGAAUGUGCUGAUUAUGUGAGACAGUAUAUUACUGGUGGGGCUUAUAAGAUGGAGAUUGAUAGAGUUUCAAGUGAAGCUGGAGCCUUUGCUGAAAGCAUGAAAUUGGGGGAUAAAUGACCAAACGUUCCAGGUGUAGAGGAAGGUGUUGGUUGCUCUAGAAAGGAAAGAGUAGGUCGUUGUAGAGAGGGAUGUCUCCGGUCACGGAUAAGAAGAGACGUGAAUAAUCAUAGAAUGGAGCCCAUAUGGUCGCCGGAGAGAUAAGCAACAUUAGGUUGCUUGAAAAGAAAGGAAAAGAAGAAGAAGCUAGUUUUAUGCUUUGCGGUAGCUAUUUUUUAGUCUCUACUAAGACUGUAGGGGUUUUGGUACUAUGCGAAAAAGUAUAGAAGAAGAAUUCUCCUAUGGGUUUAGUUAAAGUGGCAAAGGUUGAGGGACUCGUGACUUGAGUCGCACCUUUGAUCCCUGCGCAUGCGAGGUAAGCCUAGUAUUUAAAUGGAGAAGGUAUUGAGCGGGUCCGUUAUCCCCGAAUUUCGAAAGCUAGGGUUGGUUCUGGAUGUAUUUCUCAGUCAUCCAAAAAGAAGUAUAACGAAGAAUUCUUGUGGACUUCGUUAAUAGUGUUCAGGAAUAGAUGUUGGGAAUGCAUACAAAAACGGCACAUAAUCAUUUUUAUGCCUAAUAAGCUAAGUAAAGUUAUGUAGUUAAAUACAUCAUAUCUUAACAUAUCCUAUAGCAUAUCUUGUUAUUUUUUCUUACUCAACAAUGAAUCUUGAUAUGCAAACUUCGGGAUAUGUUAUGUUAAAGUUCUACAACUUUUGAUCCUUUGUUUCUUAAAAUAACCGAUGAGCUUUUCAUGUAUAUAUUAUCCUCAUACUCAAGGAUGAAAUAACAAGAAUAUUACAAGCUUUCGAGUACCGAAAUCAGCCUGCUUAUGCUUCACACAUACAUUCAUAAAGUAAUAGUACAUUUAGGAUAUUAAAAGACUUGGGUUUACACACCUAAAAAGAACAAAACAUAUAGCCAUAUUUAUAUUACAACUCGUGGUGACAUGAUCAAAUUACCCCUAAAAAUCCCAUGUAAAUAUACAACACAUAGAAUAUGUACAAGUCCCAAGGUUUAUACAAAAUAUAGAUGCCUAUAUGCAAAUGUGAUCUUCCUUAAGGCUCUACAAAACAUCCAUCUCCAAUGGCCAGCUUCAAGCAUCAUCUCGAACAACCCCUACGAUAGAAACAACUAUCGCCAAGCAUAUAGCUUAGUGGUGUAAAAACUAUAGGUUUGGAGCCCUCAAAUUCCGCAAGUUACCAUUCUCAAGUCAAGGGCAGCAUAAUUGAACAUAAUAAAUAAAUCAAGUAAACAAUAUAUAAAGAGUAUCAAGUUUUAUAUUUAAAGAUCCAAAUGUCAAGAACGCUCAUAGCACAGGUUUUCAAGAGAUUCAACAACAAGGCUCCCCCAAUAUAUACAUCAUGUCGUCACACCAAGCACAAACAAGGUAUCAAGAAGGAUCAAAACCCAAUAAUCAAGAGAACCAAGAACCAUAUUAAAAAUGGCUUUUCUAGUUCGUACUUAAAAAUGGACAACUUCCAAUUCUUAAGACGGACUAAAAAUCCAGAGUCAAGAUGACAAAUGAUUCGAAUCAAGAGGCAUGCCAAUAGUGACAAAGUCACAGCCACAAGAAGGACAAGGUCCUAACAAGAGUGCCAAGUGAUCAAACAAUCCAUACAAGUGGGCGAGUUACACAAGAGUCUUUAACGUCUUAAAGGAUACCAACACGACAAUGCAAAAUGACAAGAGGUAACCAAGGUACCAAUAUCAACUUUCAGAUAUACCAUCAGUUAAAAGAGUGCAAGUACAAGUUUAUACGCAAACCUCAGUUCUUUAGCACAAAAACAGUCCAACACAACUUCACGAGUUCAAAUCGUAGACCAACCAGUGUAUCAAAGUCUUCAACUCGUACACGAGGAUAUACAACCUUAAAAAAUGAAUUCAAUAACUUAUUUACUUUCUAGUAGCUCAAUAAUGAUGGUGUAAAAUAGGGUUAUCAUCACAAGUAAGCCUAGCCUGUACAAAUACGACUAUACUACAAAAAUAACAAUUCUACCCAAUAAAAGCACUUCAUAUCGCAACUUAGAUUUGAAACAGAAAACGGCCAAAAUGGAAUUUAUAUCCUUCAUAAAAGAUGUAGGUACAUCUCUUAAGCUUGCAAAUAAUCAAGAAUCACCGCAAAAUACGCUUUGUACAAAAAGAUAUAAUCAAAACACUAACAGUUGAACAUAUAAGAUUUCAAAUUUCAGAAUCUGGACAGAACAUGUCAUAUGUUGCGUCCCUUAUUUCGUAGUCAUAAAAGCUAAAUUAGAGUUUACCAUAAAUAGAAGAGUUGUAGGUAUAGGAAUCAGCUUUCCAAAUCAUAUUUAUUCACCGAAAAAGGAGUUAUACAGAACGAAAAAUUCUAAAAGUACUAAACACGACUCAGCUAAAAAAAAACAAGUUUUGAUUACUCACCAAAAGGUAGGAUGUCUCGACUUCCAGCUAGAAGGACCAAGGUUUCUCUUGUGAUUUUGAUGAACAACUGGUUAGAAAAUGUUCUUAGGUUCUUGGACUUCAGUUCGAAACGAAAAUGACAAGAGGAGGUGUGAUAAUAUAGUCUUAAGAGUGAUGCUUAGUCACAUAUACAACUGUCACUAAAAGGUGCUACCCCAAAUUAUUGUGUGCUGCCCAAAAUGUAUACAUAUACACCUAUAUGUAUAUAAUUGAUACCAACACUUUCAAUUCAUAUGAAAUUUUAAUUAGAAAAAUUACGUAAAUAACCCCAUACAAUACCUUAAAUUACGAGCACAAUUUAUUUUAAGCAAGGUUGCAAAUAUCACAAAAUUUCAAGUUCCCAAAAUAAGUAGGCGUUUGGCCAUGCGAUACCAUAUCAUGAUAUGGUAUCGUGAGAUGGAAUCAGUGUUUGUACAUGCGAUUUUACGCUGAUGUCAUCUCAUGAUUCCAAAUCAUGAGAUGUGAUUCCAUAUUAUCCAAAAACCAUGAUAUGGAAUUAUAUGGUAAUUCCAUAUCAUGAUUUGAGAUAUUUUAAUACAAAAAUUGAUCCACGAGUUUAUAUUUGUUAAAACAACCCCACAUUUAUAUCUACUAACCAUUUAUUUCAUAUGUAAAUAAAAUUUAUAAUCACAUCAUUACUUUUUAAAAUUUAUUAUUCUCACCGGCAUAAAAUUUAUUAUUCUCACCAACAUAUAGUCACUUUAACUCACACCAAAUUAAAGACUAGUACACUACAAUUCAUGUUCAGUUUAAAAAAAAUAAAUUAAAGUUAGAUGAAACAAUUACUUAAGUGGAGAACAAAUAGCUUUGUAAUAAUUUAUUAUGCGAUUUUAUAAAUUUUUGUUUAUUUGAUAAGAUUGAAUAAACAAUUGGGGCUAUUUUAAUAGUUUUACAACUUAUGAGAUUUUUAUGUUUAUGAGAAAAUAUACAACAUAAAAAUUCAAUAUCGCAUGUCCAAACAAACCUUCAAUUUCAUCUCAUGAUUCCUUAUCAUAAUACCAUAUCGCAUGGCCAAACGGGCCCUAAGAGUAAAACAUAUUGUAGUAAUUAAGAAAUGAUGCAUCGACAUGCAAGAGUUGGUCUAGUAUUUUAGGGGUGUUACAUAAUAUCUGGUCUUAUUGGCCGAAACCAUUCCCUUCCUUGGGGAGCUACUUGAAGAUGUUGAGCUUCCUGUCAAGUCAAUUCUCAAGGAGAUGGAAUCGAUGAGUGGUGAAAGCUUACGGCAAUAUCUCUGAGCUUAAUUGUGAAAAUCUAUAGAAGCCUCUUCCUCAAGGGUGUGUAGCGCAAGAAUUUUUCCUUCUGACGCCUUGUUGUUUUGAAAGGUAAUGAGCACCUUGCAGCAUUCUGCGGUUCCUAGCCCUAUAUACGGAGAUAUCAGGGCACAUAUACA
rnacentral:lncRNA from 1 species